AAAAAAAAACGAUAAAAGCCAGAUCCAGAUCUGGUUUCCUCUCUCGUUCUCUUCCUCUCGUCACAGAGCAAACACGCAGAUGGGUGAUGGCUACGUCGACGUCGAUCGCCGUGCUUAGUGGCCUGUGGUUGAGGCGUACCGCGGGUCUCUUUGAUGAAGGAGGUGAGCUGCUGCUUGAAAUCAUCCAAUAAGAGGGUUUUGAAACUAGCGAAGGAAGCAGCCAUGGAAUCGCGUAUGGAAGCUUGGAUCUCCUCUAGUUUAGCACUAGUUUCCUCACGAUGGACUUGCAGCUCUCAUAUUCCAGGUGAGACAGUUCACCAGAAACGUGAGGUUCAUCGGAAGCACGCGGAUUUCUGGGUUGAAGAUAUUGGAAUUUGUCUCGAGCUUUUGGUCAACUGGUCUUGCUCUUGGACUCUUGGUUCGAUUCAAAAAUCUUCAAGCUUGGUCUUCGGAUACUCUAGAAUCAAUUUCCCAAGCUUGCAACUUUGUGCUUUUUAGCACCAUUCUGGCUUCUCAUUAGUCACAGACACUUUGCAACUGGAUUGGGCUUUGCAGAAAACAGAAGCAGACGAACAAGAUUCCACAAGCUUCAGGGCUUCAUCCGUCUCAGUAUAUUCCAGUGAGAAUAUGAAGGCAGGCUAAACAAUAUUCCAACAAUCUGAGCUGCUUCUUAUUCAAAAGGAAUACAAAUUGUAUUCUUCUCAUCAGUUGUCAGGAUUUUCAAUUUAUCUAAAUUCAGGUCA